GGGGAUUAGCUCAGUGGUAGAGCGCUUGCCUAGCAAGCGCAAGGUCCUGGGUUCGGUCCCCAGCUCCG
rnacentral:tRNA from 1 species